rnacentral:rRNA from 1 species
UACGGGGGAGCAAGCGUUGUUCGGAUUUACUGGGCGUAAAGGGCGCGUAGGCGGCCACCGCAAGUCGGUUGUGAAAUCUCCGGGCUUAACCCGGAAAGGUCAAUCGAUACUGCGGAGCUAGAGUGCAGAAGGGGCAACUGGAAUUCUCGGUGUAGCGGUGAAAUGCGUAGAUAUCGAGAGGAACACCUGCGGCGAAGGCGGGUUGCUGGGCUGACACUGACGCUGAGGCGCGAAAGCCAGGGGAGCGAACGGG